rnacentral:rRNA from 1 species
UAGGAAUCUGCCUGGUAGUGGGGGAUAACGUUCCGAAAGGAACGCUAAUACCGCGUACGUCCUACGGGAGAAAGCAGGGGACCUUCGGGCCUUGCGCUAUCAGAUGAGCCUAGGUCGGAUUAGCUAGUUGGUGAGGUAAUGGCUCACCAAGGCGACGAUCCGUAACUGGUCUGAGAGGAUGAUCAGUCACACUGGAACUGAGACACGGUCCAGACUCCUACGGGAGGCAGCAGUGGGGAAUAUUGGACAAUGGGCGAAAGCCUGAUCCAGCCAUGCCGCGUGUGUGAAGAAGGUCUUCGGAUUGUAAAGCACUUUAAGUUGGGAGGAAGGGCAGUAGGUUAAUACCUUGCUGUUUUGACGUUACCGACAGAAUAAGCAC